GGAAUAUUGGACAAUGGGCGAAAGCCUGAUCCAGCAAUGCCGCGUGAGUGAUGAAGGCCUUAGGGUUGUAAAGCUCUUUUACUAGGGAUGAUAAUGACAGUACCUAGAGAAUAAGCUCCGGCUAACUCCGUGCCAGCAGCCGCGGUAAUACGGAGGGAGCUAGCGUUGUUCGGAAUUACUGGGCGUAAAGCGCGCGUAGGCGGCUUUUUAAGUCAGGGGUGAAAUCCCGGAGCUCAACUCCGGAACUGCCCUUGAAACUGGGAAGCUAGAAUAUUGGAGAGGUAAGUGGAAUUCCGAGUGUAGAGGUGAAAUUCGUAGAUAUUGGGAAGAACACCGGUGGCGAAGGCGGCCAUCUGGUCCGGUACUGACGCUGAGGCGCGAAAGCGUGGGGAGCAAAC
rnacentral:rRNA from 1 species